GGCCCGCACAAGCGGUGGAGUAUGUGGUUUAAUUCGACGCAACGCGCAGAACCUUACCCAGUCUUGACAUCCUCGGAACUUCUGUGAAAGCAGAAGGUGCCUCCUCACGGAGGAAUCGAGUGACAGGUGCUGCAUGGCUGUCGUCAGCUCGUGUCGUGAGAUGUUCGGUUAAGUCCGGCAACGAGCGCAACCCCUGUCGUUAGUUGCCAGCAAUUCGGUUGGGCACUCUAGCGAGACUCCCGGUGUUAAGCCGGCGGAAGAUGGGGAUGACGUCAAGUCCUCAUGGCCCUUAUGACUGGGGCUACACACGUACUACAAUGGCAACUACAGAGGGCAGCGAACCAGCGAUGGUAAGCCAAUCCCAAAAAAGUUGCCUCAGUUCGGAUUGGAGUCUGCAACUCGACUCCAUGAAGUUGGAAUCGCUAGUAAUCGC
rnacentral:rRNA from 1 species